UGUCCUAUAAAAUAAAUGACUUCCUGUUUAGUUAGUGAAUGCACAUUAUUCUUGUAGUUCAUAAAAAACACCAGAAUGUUUGAACAUGUGAGCAAAACCAAUAUUGGAAUGAUUAAUUUGUAUAACACAUUCAAGAGAAUUAUAGUGUAACAAAUCUUAAUCCUUUUAUCAUUACAUUUCCUACUGAAUUCAGUUAAUUUAAAUGCUUUUGGGGAUACAGUUUUCAAAAUAGAUAAGUUAUAAAUAGAUCAUCCUAUCUUUAUGUUUACUUUUACUUACCCAAAUGGAUAAAAAAAAACAUAGAAUUUCCAAAAGCUGAAAUCAUAAUACAACGAUAAACAUUUUCAUAUAUGUGACAAAGACAUUCAUUCCAAAUCAAACAAGGUAACAAACAAAUGUUAUCAAAGUGUAAAAAAAUAGAUUGUUUUAGAGUUUCUCAUUCAUCAAUACUGUUUAAACACUAACUGUUUAUAAAAAUGAAUUCAAGAUGAUGAUUGAACAGUUUCACAUUAGCAGAAUAACUUUAAAAACAGUCCUAAAUUAAACAAUUCACUUUUAAAGGGAGAUAAUUCAGCUAUUUUGCAUCAGGUGUUCACAGGCUGUGAAAAUUAAAAAAAAAUGUUUACAGAACUUUGACUAUCAUCUACUUGUUCAACAAAUGAAACUGGAUGACUUAUUUAAAGAUAUACAUGGACCAUUGCACAAUAUAUAGCAAAAUUAAUAAGUGUAUGAGGUAUACAAAUCAGACCUAAAUGAAAAUCAUGUAAAAUAAACUGAACACACACCUACAUUCACACAUGUAACUUAUUUAAGCCCUAUUCUUAUGAGGUUUUCAGUAAGCAUGGAAUGUUUGUUUUAAAUUUGACUGAUUUAUGUACAUAUUACAGUUCAAAAGGACUUUCUUUUAUUCUAAAUUUUUAUCGGAGAUUUCACAGUAACUUAUUCCUCAGCAGCAAGAUACAACAAAAUUAUCUGAAUACUUUUUUUUAAUCUGAACUAUUUUAGAUCAUAUUUUUUAAAAAUGAUUUGUUAAGUUUUAUAGUAAACAGUAAAACAGUAGUAUUAAUUUUGCUCUCAACUAUGACAUUUUAAAGUAAAGGUAUAUGUCCUAUUCCAUGCAUGCCAAAAAAAGGCAUCAAAGAAACUCAUGAUCAUUUUAGUUACUGACAAACUGUGAAAAUAUAAUGGAGGAUCAUACCUGUACAGAACAGACCAGAACAUAUCAUUUACUUGCACAAAAUAUAACAAGGCUUGACAAACAAGUAGAUUAAAUUUUUAUAAAAAUGAUUGGGUAUAUAAAGAAGCACUGCAACUUAUAUAUAUAUGUUUAUAUGUGUUCAUCUAACAAAAAACUAGUACAAAACAAAACAAAAAAAAACCUUGAUGUAAAUGUAUUAAUACUAAUGCACUAUUAACCUAAUCUUUAAGUAAUGAAUACAUCUGUAUUAAUAAGAAAACAUAGACAGUGUUACAUUGUGUUUGUAAAACAUAGUUUCCUUUUAAUGUAUACAAUGGAUCAAUUAAAGUUUUCAAAAUAGUUAAAUAUUGCACCUAGAAUACAUUUGCAUUAGUAUUUGAAAAAGACCUUUAUUAGAAUAAUGGGAGAAUAGAAAGAAAGAGGGAACACUUUUUUUUAACAAUAAAAAUACUUAAGAUAAUGGAGAUAAUUUUCAUACAAUAAGGGGAGAUAAUUUUCAUACAAUAAGGAGAGAUAAUUUUCUUUCACAGCUCUUGCUUCCUUUAAUAGUAGAGAUUGAUUUUAUCUAGGAAUCUUGAUAGAUGCCUCACAGAAUUAUCAAAACUAGCCCACAUAAAAUGUAACUUAAUAUAUAGCAAAUAUAUUUGUAAUUCUAUUUAAUUCUUUUCAUUAUAUUCAAAAGGUUCCAAAAAAGCACACCCUGUCUAGAGUAUAUAACAUCAGCAUAUAAAAAGCUUUAUAUUCCUAUAUUAGUUACUGUUACGGAAUGUCUCUAAAUUAUCAAAUCAACUUAACUAUACUGCUAUGCUUACUUGAAAAAUAUAAAAGUAUAGAAAUCCAGAAAUAAAACACAUAUUUACACCAAUAGAUUUUUUUAUUCUAAGACAUUAUUUUAAUGUUCAUAAAAUACAAAGACGGAUUGGCAUUUAUCUUAAGUUAAACUGUAAUUAUAUGAUCUAUAUUCUCAGAAAUUAAUACUUAUAUAAUUCUCCCUAUAAAUUUCUACAUUGUUUAAAAUUUAAUUCCAAGUAAUUGUAACACUUCUUUGAAUAUCUACUUCAGUACAACUGUCCUUACCAGAAAUAAUAUGAGAAAUCUAAGCUAUUAUAUUAGGAACCAUGUUAAAUAAAAUAUACCUAGCACUUUUAAUAUGUGUCGCAUUAAAUCAAUUGUUAGUUUACAAUUGCGGGGAAAAAUCUGACAUGUUAUAAAUGAAUUAAAAAAGUUAUAUAAGGUCAAAUCAAUUAUUCCUUCUAUCCUCGAAUAGUCUUUGCAUUAUAUAUUAAAGGAGUAAUAGACUUUUGUAAUAUAAUUGGUUAUGAAUUGCCAAUUAAGGUGAAAAUAUGAACUUUAAAAUAAACUAAAAUACUUUCUACACUGUUUAUACUUAUUUAAGUGAUGAAUUUUCAAAAAUUGAUUGCUAAAGGUGAAACCGUAUUACAAAUAUAGAGGAAAACUAUAUAUAAUUUUAGUAUUUUACCUUAUGUGAUGAAAGAAGACAUAAAUAAACUAACUAGCAUUUUCCACUUUACCUUUGAUCAUCCCAUAAACUGAUAACUCUAUCCUCAUUCCCAUUAUCAUAUCAUUAAGAUAUACACACUGAUUUUGUUUUUUACAAUAAAUGAUAGUUAUUACAAUUAAUUAAAUCAUAUUUUCCAUCUUUAAUAUAACCAGUUCAUUGAUUUUGUGAAGACUUCCAGUUGAAUCCCCUGGUUAAUAGAAUAAGAAAAUGCACAGAAAAGGGGGGUUCAAAUUGAAGUCUGGUAAAGACUUUCAUGCAGAAAUAGAUUGUUUGAAGGAUUGCUUAUUUAUUGAAGAAGAAAUGUAAAACACCUAUCUGUGUUUGUAAGGUUGUCAAGUACAUAAUAAUAUACAAUAUUUUGUACAUUUUUUUAAUUUGUAAAUUUUAUUUUUUAAAGUAAACAUUGCUCACAUAUUUGUUAAGUAUGAUGUUACAAUGAUGUAUGUUAUCACCUUGAGAGGGAGAAUGGCACAACCUGAACAAAAUAUUAUAUACUGAAAAUUUCUUUGUUAUUUUCUUGGCCAAUAUGGAGACCCCCUUGUAUAGUUUCUGCAGAAGUUAAAAAGUUGAAUGUUUGGUAAAGAAAAGAGGGCA
rnacentral:lncRNA from 1 species